AUCCUUUUGUAGUUCAUGAGCAUGAUGAUUGGGUGUUCACACGCUUGUGUGAGAUGUGCCACUUUUAACCUUGUUACACGUCUGCAUGUUAUCCAUCUGACC